rnacentral:rRNA from 1 species
ACUGCGUGAAGUCGGAAUCGCUAGUAAUCGCGGAUCAGCAUGCCGCGGUGAAUACGUUCCGGCCUUGUACACACCGCCCGUCACACCAUGAGAGUCGGGAACACCCGAAGUCCGUAGCCUAACCGCAAGGAGGGCGCGGCCGAAGGUGGGUUCGAUAAUUGGGGUGAAGUCGUAACAAGGUAGC